rnacentral:misc_RNA from 1 species
UCCUUUUAAUUUGCUACACGUAUGUAAGAUUAUUUCUGUAACAAUUUUAAUUAGAAACAAUGGUAGUAAGUCGUAACUCCAAAGAACAUUUACAUCAUAUAAAAAAUUCUAUAUGCUAUUUACCAUACUAAUAUUUCGUUUCUCCUCGUACGAAAGUUUUCGAAUAGUUGCACGAAUAACGAUUAGCUACAUUCUUUUCUGGAGAAAUGUACAUUCAAAUGAAGUUCCAUUUAGCGCUACAUCACAUCGAUUCGUCUACUGACCGCUAAAUUAGCAACAAUGACGUUAAUAUCGACUAAAAUCGUUCAUUUCGCGUCUCGUCGUCGGUUGCAGAGUGCCUUGCGACGUAUGAUGGAAAUAACACGCAGCAAUUACUCACAAUAUCAAUAGAAGAAAAUAGUCCAUAUGUAUGUAUAUAUAUACAUAUAUAUCGCCACAUACAUAUAUAUAUAUACUACGUAUGCAAUGCAGUUUUAAUAUAUAUUUAUUUAUUUAUUUCAUAUAUCCAUUGCUCAUCAUCCAUAUCCAUUUAUAAACGACGGUUAGAUCAUACAUUACAUCUGAGUAUUAAAACAUCAUUUCUUUCUUUCUCUUUCACGCUUGUCUUGAAUUUCCCGCAGCGGUAUUGUUCCACGGUUAUACUGAUCUUUUUUAAUACUCUGGUGCACUCGUGAGCCAGGGUCUUCGGUAAGUCUUGCUCAGUAUCAUCGAAAGGACAAACAUCCGGAUCGGUCGAUCGAGGAAAAACUGAAGUUUCGUUCAGCUAAUCUGUGAACAAUUUCGUCGACUUAUCUCGAGAUACGUGAAUCGUCGAAUUUCUGCAACAGGCGGAUCGGUGUUUCAAAUUCGAUCGAUCGUGCAUCAAUCGUGCAGUCAAACUUCGAUCGUGAUUGGUUCACGUGCAAUGAUCGAAAACUCAACCAAUUUUGUCAAGAAUUUGAUGUAUAAGUUGAUCG